rnacentral:piRNA from 3 species
CUCAGUUGGUAGAGCGGAGGACUGUA